rnacentral:lncRNA from 1 species
AAAAUCCUUAUCCCAAAGGGCUGAUUGUGAUGAAGGCACAGGACAGUCCAACCAGAUCUACCCUCAGUGGGCUGGGCAGGUCCCCACUGGUGAAGGCCACACUGCCUUGCACACAGCCUGCCCCUCUGCAGCCUAAUGCAGAACCACGCAGCCUGCCCCUGUUUGAGGAGUCAUCAAUAUUCAAGAUGGAGGGAGGAGCAGAGACCCUGGAGCGCUGGCAAGUCCAUGAGAAGCUCUGUGAGGCCUUUCUGGAAUUGACCUGCAGACAGAGAGCACUUGAUUCUAGCACUAAGGACUUCACAUGCAUGACUGGAUCAGCGCCGUAAUCAGAAUCACCGGAACGUGGCAUCUCAGAACGCAGCAGACCUUAGAGGCCUAGGCCUAGUUAAGACUGCAACCCUGGCAUCCAAAUUCAGCAUCUUUUCUUUUCUCCACCUGGUACAACCAACAACCAGCAGAAACUGUAGCCUGCAGAGACCUUGCUGUUUCUGCAGGUCAUCCUGCUAUACUGAGCAGCUGACAGCUGAUGAAGCGCUCCUCUGAUGGUUCAAAGCCUACACAUUUUUCACCUCAACUGGCCUAAGAAAUAAGCAAAGGUGACUGACACGCAUGUGUAUUUCACUUGGGAUAUGACAGGCCCUGCUGAGCCUUUGGAAGCGUCUUCCUGCUGCCACCAAUGAAGUAGCCAGCAUGGUCACCCCUCUACCUCGCCUCUGACUUCCAGGUCACUUGAGGAAAUCGUGAGCUUCCCUGAUUCACAGAAUUUCUAUCCCCUUGGGAAAAGCUGUCACACAGAGAAGACUCCCCAAAAUGCAACAUGGCCAAAAAUGAAAUGUGUCUCUGAAAGUUUAUGUCAUGAAUAUGAACUGG